UAGCGCGGUGGUCCCACCUGACCCCAUGCCGAACUCAGAAGUGAAACGCCGUAGCGCCGAUGGUAGUGUGGGGUCUCCCCAUGCGAGAGUAGGACACUGCCAGGCA
rnacentral:rRNA from 2 species